rnacentral:rRNA from 1 species
ACGAACGCUGGCGGCGCGCCUAACACAUGCAAGUCGAACGCGCGAGAGAGAGCUUGCUUUCUCGAGCGAGUGGCGAACGGGUGAGUAACGCGUGAGGAACCUGCCUCAAAGAGGGGGACAACAGUUGGAAACGACUGCUAAUACCGCAUAAGCCCACGACCCGGCAUCGGGUAGAGGGAAAAGGAGCAAUCCGCUUUGAGAUGGCCUCGCGUCCGAUUAGCUAGUUGGUGAGGUAACGGCCCACCAAGGCGACGAUCGGUAGCCGGACUGAGAGGUUGAACGGCCACAUUGGGACUGAGACACGGCCCAGACUCCUACGGGAGGCAGCAGUGGGGAAUAUUGCACAAUGGGGGAAACCCUGAUGCAGCGACGCCGCGUGGAGGAAGAAGGUCUUCGGAUUGUAAACUCCUGUUGUUGAGGAAGAUAAUGACGGUACUCAACAAGGAAGUGACGGCUAACUACGUG